UGUGUAUGUUUUGUCUGGCAUUGCUUGUGUUGGUAUAUAUUUCGGCAGCGGCAGAGGCCGCGGGUUUUGAUUUUUCCUUAAUUUUAAAUUUGGGGCAAAUUUAUGUGCUCGUAUGAGAGAAUUUUCGUAUGUUUUUGUAGUUGGUCAAGUGUGCGUGUAAAGUGGCGUGUCGAUCAAUGGCUGUUUGUUUCGUUAUUUGGCAGACAGUUCACAUUGUUAUUUGAAGGAAUGACGCUCGGAAGAGAGCAAUGAAAAAAAUUGUCGCUUGAUGUCAAAGAUGAACACAAAAAAUAAAUAUAAUAUAAUCAAUUAAAGAUGUGGAAGAAAAAUAAAUAAACCGUUGUACCAGUUUGCUUUGAUUUUAAAGGAAUUUUGUCAAGAAACAACCGCCUUUUUUAAUUUAUGACGCAUCAAAUACAACUAAAAGCUAAAAACUUC